UACAGAGGGUGCAAGCGUUAAUCGGAGUUACUGGGCGUAAAGGGCGCGUAGGCGGUUUGAUUAGUCGGGUGUGAAAGCCCUGGGCUUAACCUGGGAAUUGCAUUCGAUACUGUCAAGCUAGAGUAUGGUAGAGGAAAGCGGAAUUCCACAUGUAGCGGUGAAAUGCGUAGAUAUGUGGAGGAACAUCAGUGGCGAAGGCGGCUUUCUGGACCAAUACUGACGCUGAGGCGCGAAAGCGUGGGGAGCAAACAGG
rnacentral:rRNA from 1 species